rnacentral:tRNA from 1 species
CAAAGUAUAGCUUAAAUAAAGCACUUCGCUUACACCGAAUUAAUGUCUAUUAACCCAGACUACUCUGAG